GUACGUAAGUUGUUGCAGUUAAAAAGCUCGUAGUUGGAUCUCAGGCUUGUGGCCGGUGGUCCGCUCGAUACGGGUGUGCACUGCCGUGUCCGGCCUACGUCUGGUCUAACGUCCAUAGUGCCCUUAACCGGGUGCUAUGGAAUGCCAGAAAGUUUACUCUGAAAAAAUUAGAGUGCUCAAAGCAAGCCGUUUGUGCUUGAAUACUGUUGCAUGGAAUAAUGGAAUAGGACCUCGGUUCUAUUUUGUUGGUUUUCGGAGUCGAGGUAAUGAUUAAGAGGGACAGACGGGGGCAUUCGUAUUGCGCCGUUAGAGGUGAAAUUCUUGGAUCGGCGCAAGACGAACAACUGCGAAAGCAUUUGCCAAGGAUGUUUUCAUUAAUCAAGAACGAAAGUCAGAGGUUCGAAGACGAUCAGAUACCGUCGUAGUUCUGACCAUAAACGAUGCCAACUGGCGAUCCGCCGCAGUCUGGCUUAAAGGACUCGGCGGGCAGCCUCCGGGAAACCUAAGUCUAUGGGUUCCGGGGGAAGUAUGGUUGCAAAGCUGAAACUUAAAGGAAUUGACGGAAGGGCACCACCAGGAGUGGAGCCUGCGGCUUAAUUUGACUCAA
rnacentral:rRNA from 1 species